rnacentral:tRNA from 1 species
GCAUUGGUGGUAUAGUGGUGAGCAUAGCUGCCUUCCAAGCAGCUGACCCGGGUUCGAUUCCUGGCCAAUGCA